rnacentral:rRNA from 1 species
AUGGAGAAGGCGAGGAGGAAGAGUUCACCGUCAUGGGCGGCGGCCAUCGCUCUGGUGUCCCUCUUUGCGGUCGCCGGCGUGGCCGCGGCGGGGGCGCCGGCGCCGAGGAGGAUCCUGGUGGACACGGACAUGGACACCGACGACCUCUUCGCGCUGCUCUACAUCCUCAAGCAGGACCGGUCCCAAUUCGACGUCAAGGCCAUUACCAUCAGCGCCAACGCAUGGAUCGACGCCGGCCACGGCGUCAACCAGCUCUACGACAUCCUCUACAUGAUGGGCCGCGACGACAUUGCCGUCGGCGUCGGUGGCGAUGGCGGCAUAUCGGAGGCUGGCGAGAUACACCCCGACGUCGGCGGCUACCUCCCCCUGAUAGACCAGGGCAUGUCGACGGUGGGCGGCUGCCGGUACCGGCAGGCCAUCCCGCCGGGACGCCGCGGCGGGCGCCUCGACACCGACACCAACGGCGGCCUCCGGAGGGGCUUCCUCCCGCAGGGCCCCCGGGGGUACGCGCCGCUCCGGCAGCCCACGGCGCAGCAGGUGAUGGUGGACACGGUGUCAGCGGGCCCUACCACGUUGCUCCUCUUUGGGACCCACACCAACGCCGCGCUCCUCCUCAUGGCGCACCCGCACCUCAGGCGCAACGUCGAGCACGUCUACGUCCUCGGCGGCGGCGUAAGGGUGACGGGGAACCUCUUCACCGCCUACGGCGCCAACCCGUUCGCGGAGUUCAACGUGUUCGGCGACCCCUUCGCCGCCUACCAGGUGCUCCACUCCGGCGUCCCCGUCACGCUCGUCCCUCUCGACGCCACCAACACCAUCCCGGUCACCGAGGAGUUCUUCGUCGAGUUCGGCCGGCGAUGGCAGACCACGCCGGAGGCGCGCUACUGCUUCCAGUCGCUGGACCAGGUCCUGAGGAGACACAGAAGGCCGGCGCCCGGCCUCCAUGGCAGCACGGGCUAUUACAUGUGGGAUUCCUUUGCCGCCGGUGUGGCUUUCUCUAGCAUGCGCAGUGGCGAGGCCAAUGGCGCAAAUGACUUUGCUGAGCUAGAGUACAUGAACAUCACGGUGAUCACUUCCAACAAACCCUACGGCGGGCGCGACGGCUCGAACCCGUUUUUCGACGGCCACGCGACACCCAAGUUUGGUCUGAAGGUGGGUGGUGUUCACAGUGGCCAUGUCCAGACUGGGAUCAGAGAUAGUUUCUGCUUGGUGCCGGGAAGCAACACAGGAAGAUGCCAGGAUGGAUACACCAAGGAAGUGACUGGUUCAGAAGGAGUCCGCGUUCGUGUGGCCACGAGCGCGAAGCCAAACACGGUUUACAAUAGCGCGUUUGAUAGGGAAUUUUCCAAGAACUUCCUAGAGGUCCUAAAUCUCGCUAAACAAGCUGGUCGUUUUAACAUCAGUACACAGUUCCCAUAUUACAGGGAAGUUCUUUAUAAGCCAGAUUUCAUAAACGUGAGCAGGGGAAAGCCAGUUAUUUUUGACAUGGACAUGAGCCCUGGAGAUUUUGUUUCUCUUAUAUAUCUCUUGAAGGCACCAAGAGAAGUUAUAGAUCUAAAGGGGGUUUUGGUCAAUGGCAAUGGAUGGGCGAAUAUCGCAAGCAUCGAUAUCGUUUAUGACAUUCUACAUAUGAUGGGCCGCGACGACAUUCCAGUUGGCCUUGGCAAUACCACUGCAAUGGGCAACCCAACACUUGGUUGCAACAAUGUGUAUGCUAUUCCGCUGGGCAGUGGUGGAUUUAUUGACUCCGAUACAUUGUAUGGACUGGCUCGGUUAUUGCCAAGAAGUCCUAGAAGAUACACUCCUGAAAGUACAGAUGAUCCAGAACAUCGGCAGCCACUGGCUUUAGAAGUGUGGCAGUCUGUCAGGAGGCAACUUUGUCCAGGUGACAAGAUCACUCUUCUUACCAGUGGGCCUCUCACCAAUUUGGCCAACAUUUCACUAUCUGACAGGGAUGCAAGCUCUGUUAUAGAGAGAAUUUAUGUUAUUGGAGGGCUCAUCAAAGAUGGAGGUCAUGAGAAGGGGAAUGUGUUCACUGUUCCAUCGAACAGAUACGCAGAGUUCAACAUGUUUCUUGAUCCUCUGGCUGCAAAAACAGUCCUGGAAUCCAAUCUGAAUAUCACACUCAUUCCCCUUACCGUGCAACGAAAAGCUGCUUCAUUUGAGUCUGUCCUGGAAGCCUUGGAGCAAACCCAGCAAACUCCUGAGUCAAAGUUUGUCCGAGAGUUAUUCGCGUUAUUGAAGGAACUUCGGAGCAAAGAGAAGCUGUAUCACCAUGUGGAUAUAUUUUUGGGAGAAGUUCUUGGUGCGGUUUACAUGGUUCAAGGAUCUGACUUGAAAUCCACAGUAAAGCUGAAGCAAAUAAGCGUCCUUGCCGACACAAAGAAAAGCACAGAUGGGCAGAUUGUGAUCAGCAAGCAGAGUACAAAGCUGGUGCAUGUGUUAAGUGAUUUCAAUGUUGAAAUAUAUUACAAUCGAUUGGCAAAUUCUUUAACGAACAAGAAACAGUCUGCCAUCGUUGCGAGCUUUGAAGAACAAAAGGCAAUUUGGAGCAGGCCACCAAAUAAUUCAGGGCCUGGACAUAACAGAUUUCUAUAG